UACACACCGCCCGUCACACCAUGGGAGCUGGAAAGACCCAAAGGGCUCGCGCCAACCGCAAGGAGGCAGAGUCUCAAGGUCGGGCCGGUGACUGGGGUG
rnacentral:rRNA from 1 species